AAGUCGUAACAAGGUUUCCGUAGGUGAACCUGCGGAAGGAUCAUUAACACGUGAUUUCUCACGUAUUACCCACAAAGCACCGUACACCUGUUCUAGAGGAGAGUCAUCAGUGGACGUUCGCAGUGCCUGAGAUUACUCGGCUUGCCCACUGGUUAGCGGCCCAGAAAUGAGGCUGUGCUCAGAGCUAGUUCAGCGUAUCGAUUUCCUAUUUCUAACGCUUGCUGCAGUUGCAUAGGUAGGAAACGUUUUUCUUUAUAACCAUACUUUUUCUUUUUCUAAUUUCAAUGUCAAUCCUUUGAAUUCCUGGCCCCCGACGGCUGGUUGAGUUUGACUGAUUGUCGAUUAUUAAUACGAAACAACUCUUAGCAACGGAUAUCUUGGUUCUC
rnacentral:misc_RNA from 1 species